rnacentral:rRNA from 1 species
AGUGAACGCUGGCGGUAGGCCUAACACAUGCAAGUCGAACGGCAGCACAGUAAGAGCUUGCUCUUACGGGUGGCGAGUGGCGGACAGGUGAGGAAUACAUCGGAAUCUACUUUUUCGUGGGGGAUAACGUAGGGAAACUUACGCUAAUACCGCAUACGACCUACGGGUGGAAGCAGGGGAUCUUCGGACCUUGCGCGAUUGAAUGAGCCGAUGUCGGAUUAGCUAGUUGGCGGGGUAAAGGCCCACCAAGGCGACGAUCCGUAGCUGGUCUGAGAGGAUGAUCAGCCACACUGGAACUGAGACACGGUCCAGACUCCUACGGGAGGCAGCAGUGGGGAAUAUUGGACAAUGGGCGCAAGCCUGAUCCAGCCAUACCGCGUGGGUGAAGAAGGCCUUCGGGUUGUAAAGCCCUUUUGUUGGGAAAGAAAAGCAGCAGGUUAAUACCCCGCUGUUCUGACGGUACCCAAAGAAUAAGCACCGGCUAACUUCGUG